rnacentral:rRNA from 1 species
CGGAGGGAUCAUUAAAGAGUUCUAUAACUCCCAAACCCAUGUGAACAUACCUAACGUUGCCUCGGCAGGUCGCACCUACCUUGUAGCACCCUACCCUGUAGGGCCUACCCGGGAGGUGCGGGUAAGCCUGCCGGCGGCCCACCAAACUCUGUUUGAUAUUGAAUUCUGAACCUAUAACUAAAUAAGUUAAAACUUUCAACAACGGAUCUCUUGGUUCUGGCAUCGAUGAAGAACGCAGCGAAAUGCGAUAAGUAAUGUGAAUUGCAGAAUUCAGUGAAUCAUCGAAUCUUUGAACGCAUAUUGCGCCCAUUAGUAUUCUAGUGGGCAGGACCGUUCGAGCGUCAUUUCAACCCUUAAGCCUUCGUUGCUUAGUGUUGGGAGCCUACGGCAACGUAGCUCCUCAAAGUUAGUGGCGGAGUUGGUUCACACUCUAGACGUAGUAAUUUUUUAUCUCGCCUAUUAGUUGGACUAAUCCCCUGCCGUAAAACCCCUAAUUUAUCAAGGUUGACCUCGAAUCGGUUCAGACAAACUCGCUAAAUUGAAGCAUCUUAGUCAGCGAAGGAAAAGAAACCAACAGGGAUUGCCCUAGUAACGGCGAGUGAAGCGGCAACAGCUCAAAUUUGAAAUCUGGCCCU